UCCCCGAUGGUGUAACGGUAACAUAGCUGGUUUUCAACUCGAUGUAAAGCCCAGCAGCCCCGGGUUCAACUCCCGGUCGAGGAA
rfam:Cladophialophora psammophila CBS 110553 aczJe-supercont1.13, whole genome shotgun sequence.